AUUGAACGCUGGCGGCAUGCUUUACACAUGCAAGUCGAACGGUAACAGGAAGCAGCUUGCUGCUUCGCUGACGAGUGGCGGACGGGUGAGUAAUGUCUGGGAAACUGCCUGAUGGAGGGGGAUAACUACUGGAAACGGUAGCUAAUACCGCAUAAUGUCGCAAGACCAAAGAGGGGGACCUUCGGGCCUCUUGCCAUCGGAUGUGCCCAGAUGGGAUUAGCUAGUAGGUGGGGUAACGGCUCACCUAGGCGACGAUCCCUAGCUGGUCUGAGAGGAUGACCAGCCACACUGGAACUGAGACACGGUCCAGACUCCUACGGGAGGCAGCAGUGGGGAAUAUUGCACAAUGGGCGCAAGCCUGAUGCAGCCAUGCCGCGUGUAUGAAGAAGGCCUUCGGGUUGUAAAGUACUUUCAGCGGGGAGGAAGGCGAUAAGGUUAAUAACCUUGUCGAUUGACGUUAUCCGCAGAAGAAGCACCGGCUAACUCCGUGCCAGCAGCCGCCGUAA
rnacentral:rRNA from 1 species